UAUAAGCAAUCUAUACUGUGAAACUGCGAAUGGCUCAUUAAAUCAGUUAUCGUUUAUUUGAUAGUACCUUACUACAUGGAUAACCGUGGUAAUUCUAGAGCUAAUACAUGCUAAAAACCCCGACUUCGGAAGGGGUGUAUUUAUUAGAUAAAAAACCAAUGCCCUUCGGGGCUCCUUGGUGAUUCAUAAUAACUUAACGAAUCGCAUGGCCUUGUGCCGGCGAUGGUUCAUUCAAAUUUCUGCCCUAUCAACUUUCGAUGGUAGGAUAGUGGCCUACCAUGGUUUCAACGGGUAACGGGGAAUUAGGGUUCUAUUCCGGAGAGGGAGCCUGAGAAACGGCUACCACAUCCAAGGAAGGCAGCAGGCGCGCAAAUUACCCAAUCCCGACACGGGGAGGUAGUGACAAUAAAUACUGAUACAGGGCUCUUUUGGGUCUUGUAAUUGGAAUGAGUACAAUUUAAAUCCCUUAACGAGGAACAAUUGGAGGGCAAGUCUGGUGCCAGCAGCCGCGGUAAUUCCAGCUCCAAUAGCGUAUAUUAAAGUUGUUGCAGUUAAAAAGCUCGUAGUUGAACCUUGGGCCUGGCUGGCCGGUCCGCCUCACCGCGUGCACUGGUCCGGCCGGGCCUUUCCUUCUGGGGAGCCGCAUGCCCUUCACUGGGUGUGUCGGGGAACCAGGACUUUUACUUUGAAAAAAUUAGAGUGUUCAAAGCAGGCCUAUGCUCGAAUACAUUAGCAUGGAAUAAUAGAAUAGGACGUGUGGUUCUAUUUUGUUGGUUUCUAGGACCGCCGUAAUGAUUAAUAGGGAUAGUCGGGGGCAUCAGUAUUCAAUUGUCAGAGGUGAAAUUCUUGGAUUUAUUGAAGACUAACUACUGCGAAAGCAUUUGCCAAGGAUGUUUUCAUUAAUCAGUGAACGAAAGUUAGGGGAUCGAAGACGAUCAGAUACCGUCGUAGUCUUAACCAUAAACUAUGCCGACUAGGGAUCGGGCGAUGUUAUCUUUUUGACUCGCUCGGCACCUUACGAGAAAUCAAAGU
rnacentral:rRNA from 1 species